rnacentral:lncRNA from 1 species
UGGUCACGAUGGUAGAGGCAAAACUUGUUAGGGUUGUGCUUCCCGAGAUGUGUGCGCAUCCUUUCCGACCUCGACAGCUACUCCUUGACCUCCAUCAGCACUUGGAUUUUUGAUGCAUUGAAAGGGGCAUAGCUGCGAAAUCUUCCUGGGGGAGAGCCCCGUCGAACUCUACGGUCCAGGCUUCUCUGCCUACGCACCCGGGG